rnacentral:sRNA from 1 species
UCUUUACAAUGAAUAGAGAGAGGGAGGUGGAGGCGUUGCGCUUGAAAAUCGAAUACCUAGUGACUCACAGGCAGAGGAAACCCAAUGUAUUGACUCGUCAUUUCACUUCUCGGGGAGGCUUCUCUUCAGGCAGCGCCAAGUGGAAAGUGGGUGGUGGGGGGUGUAGUAGGAAGGGCACUGGAAUUAGGAGCUCUAGCUUCUCCACCGAUUAGCUGUGUGACCCUGGGGUAGUCAUGUAAUGGCUUCAAACCUCAGCUUCCUCAUCUGUAAAAUGGGAAAAAAAAAGUGAGCCCAUUUUUACAGGAUUCGAUGAAGCUCGAAUUAGCUAACAUGUAUCACAGCUCUUUCUCAAAAACAAUGUAGACAUGUCAGUUAGGGGUCUACCUUGUAGUCAAGGGUCUUGUCUUUUUUUUUCCUUCGCUUACUACCUGCUCCGUUCACCACCUGACAUUUCCAAGCUCUGCUUCCAUGACAGAGAAACUGCCUGCAGGGUGUCUCUCUUUUCCAAGAGCUACUGACACACACACAAUGCAAAAACGUUUCCUUUUUCUUUUCCUUGCCAUUUGGAUGGGUCAUUUGGGGAUAAUGACCCAUCUUGUAGAAUUGUUAUAGGGAUGAAAUAAAAUGACAAGUGAAAGCCCUUUGGAAAUGAUAUAAACAAUAGUACUAAACACAGUGGCUAAGACUCUGGGUUGAAAGCAGAGUGGCCAUGUUCCUGUGCAGCCUCCAGCUCAUAUGAGCUGUGGGUCAUUGGGUAAGACUUUACCUCAUUGUUUUCAUCUGUAAAAUGGGAAUUAAAACAGCACUCACUUCGUAAGGUUGUUGUGUGAAAAUCAAAUGAAAACUGUGUGUAGAACACUUUAUACAGUAUCUGGACCGUAGUGUUCAAUGUUAGUCAUUAUUAUUAGUUUUUGCUUAUGUAGUGCCAGUAUGGGUUGUAGAGGGCUUUUACAUCAAAAUGGCACAUUUGAUCAUAAUAGCCCCAUGAUUUAUAAAUUAUCAUCUCCAUUUUACAGACAAGGAAACUUCAGGCUCAGUCACUGAACUAAGUCAAAAGCCAGGAUUUAUCUUUUGGCUUCUAAACUCAGUUCUUUCUACUCCACCACAUGGCCUUCAUCAUGAAUAAAUUAUUGCAUCAUUAUCCCCAAGAAACUGCCUACCAGCUGUUUGAGUUAGGUCUCUGGAUUGGUCAUCGCCUUUCCUAGAGCUCAGGAGGUCAAGUUCUUUUUUUAGGGGGCGCUUACCUUCCCACUUUCCUUUGUAACCAACAACAACCUUCCCUUCUAGCGGAUAUGUUUUCCCAUGAGGAGAAUGGCCCUGAGCCAGACUGGGUUUUAUCAGAACGGGAGCAGUUUAAUGAAUUCCGGGAUCUGAACAAGGACGGGAAGUUGGACAAAGAUGAGAUUCGCCACUGGAUCCUCCCUCAAGAUUACGAUCAUGCACAGGCUGAGGCCAGGCAUCUGGUAUAUGAGUCAGACAAAAACAAGGAUGAGAAGCUAACUAAAGAGGAAAUAUUGGAGAACUGGAACAUGUUUGUUGGAAGCCAAGCUACCAAUUAUGGGGAAGAUCUCACAAAAAAUCAUGAUGAGCUUUGAUAGACACUCACCAGAAUAUGGCAGACUGUCAUAGGCAUUCUGUUAUUGUCUUGGAAUGUUGCUACAAUUGUCUAAUUUACAGCAGUUGUGAUCCCACAAAAAGCAAGUUUAUACCUCGGAUUGGGGUAUAAAAAUUGUUUUUUGCUCAGUAUUUACUGGAAAAUGGAUAUCACUAGUCUUUCAGUAAGAUUUCUCUCAAAACAGAUGAAAACCUUGGUAAAUUGCAGUUCUCUCUGGGGAUAUAUUGGUACAACAUGACUUAAAACUUUUUUUUUUUUCUGUUAAAACUUAAAGGGGAACCAAACUUGAAAACGCCCUGUUCUUCAGAAGUUGAGUGGGUUGAGGGAGGCAGUAAAUAUGAAGUGACUGCUAUGUAUUUUAACUACCAGAUUUUUUAUAUUUGCCACUGUUAAAUAGUUGGAAAGGGGAAAUUCUGAUUGAGCAAAAGUGGUAUCAUCCUAGGUAAGCUUAUUUCAGAACAAGUCUAAUAUUUCAGAUUCUUUCUUUUCGACUUUGUACUCUGAGUUGUUACUUACUGUAAGUGGUGUAUAUGAAACCUCCAUGCAUUUUCCAGUAUGGAUCUGCUAAUAUGCACAGUAAAUCCAUGUCUUUGUUUGUUUUUCUAUUAAAAAGCAAUCAAGAAAGAUAAUGUGAAAAAGAAAGGAAUUUAGAGGUAGGGAAAAGAUGAAUGUCAGACAUUUGAAGAACUAUAGUAAAAUGAUAAACACUAAAUAUACUUGAGAAAACUUUCUUAAUAUGCCAUUGAGGUAGGCCUGGUCUUUGAAAUAGUGAAUAGGAAUACAAUGCAUCUCCUCAAUGAUCACUGAUUAGAAUGAGGUGGUGGGAUCCUUGGAAAGCCAAAUGGAGCAGAGUUCUGGAUCAUGUCCUAUCCAGUCCAGUGAAACCACGACCCUCAGACCUGUCCCCCCGGAAUAGCUUAUACCAUGGAAUGAGGACAAGGUGAUACUCUGAGCUGUGGACUGAACUGGCAGACACAACCUGUACAGAUUGAAAUUUCACCUUGUAAGGAGGAAGUGAAUGAAAUAAAGGAUCCCCCUAAGG